rnacentral:rRNA from 1 species
UACGGAGGGUGCAAACGUUGCUCGGAAUUAUUGGGCGUAAAGCGCACGUAGGCGGUUUUGUAAGUUGGAUGUGAAAACCCUGGGCUCAACCCUGGAAGUGCAUCCAAGACUGCAAGGCUGGAGUGCCGGAGGGGGUCGGAGAAUUCCCGGUGUAGAGGUGAAAUUCGUAGAUAUCGGGAGGAACAUCUGUGGCGAAGGCGCCGACCUGGACGGUCACUGACGCUGAGGUGCGAAAGCAUGGGGAGCAAACAGG